UGAAUACGAGAUGCUACGGCGUCGAAGCAGUCUAUGUCAUACUUCCAAGAAAAGCUCGCACUGUCAUAAACAAAUAAUGCCUGUACCAUAACCGACACAGGUGGGUAGGUAGAGUAUACUAAGGGGCGCGAGAUAACUCUCUCUAAGGAACUCGGCAAAAUGACUCCGUAACUUCGGGAGAAGGAGUGCCUUAUUUAUAAGGUUGCAAUAACAAGAUCCAAGCAACUGUUUAUCAAAAACACAGGUCUCCGCUAAGUCGUAAGACGAUGUAUGGGGGCUGACGCCUGCCCAGUGCCAGAAGGUUAAAGAAGUUGGUUAGCAUUCGCGAAGCUGAUAACUGAAGCCCUGGUGAACGGCGGCCGUAACAAUAACGGUCCUAAGGUAGCGAAAUUCCUUGUCGGGUAAGUUCCGACCCGCACGAAAGGCGUAAUGAUUUGGAUACUGUCUCGGAGAGGGGCUCGGUGAAAUAGACUUGUCUGUGAAGAUGCGGACUACCUGCACCAGGACAGAAAGACCCUAUGAAGCUUUACUGUAACUUGAGAUUGAAAUUGGACUUUACUUGCGCAGUAUAGGUGGGAGGCGUUGAUAAUAUUCUUGCGGGAUUAUUUGAGCCAUCAGUGAGAUACCACUCUUGUAAUGUUAGAUUUCUAACUUUGUAUCAUUAUCUGGUCAAAGGACAGUUUCAGGCGGGCAGUUUGACUGGGGCGGUCGCCUCCUAAACGGUAACGGAGGCGCACAAAGGUUUCCUCUGAACGGGUAGAAAUCGUAUCUAGAGUGUAAAGGCAUAAGGAAGCUUGACUGUGAGACCUACAAGUCGAGCAGGGACGAAAGUCGGUCUUAGUGAUCUGACGGUGCUGAGUGGAAAGGCCGUCACUCAACGGAUAAAAGUUACUCUAGGAUAACAGGCUGAUCUCCCCCAAGAGUUCACAUCGACGGGGAGGUUUGGCACCUCGAUGUCGGCUCAUCGCAUCCUGGGGCGGUAGUACGUCCCAAGGGUUGGGCUGUUCGCCCAUGAAAGCGGUACGCGAGCUGGGUUCAGAACGUCGUGAGACAGUUCGGUCCAUAUCCGGUGUAGGCGUUAGAAUAUUGAGAGGAGCCUUCUUUAGUACGAGAGGACCGAGAAGGACAUACCUCUGGUGUACCAGUUAUCGUGCCAACGGUAAACGCUGGGUAGCUAUGUAUGGAGUGGAUAACCGCUGAAAGCAUCUAAGUGGGAAGCCCACCUCAAGAUAAGUGUUCUCAUC
rnacentral:rRNA from 1 species